CUUAUUUGGAAAUGGGACUAUUGCAUUCCGGAAAUGAAGGGGGCGCUAUUUUCAUAAUCACUAGUAUAAAUACCUUAAAGACGCGGAGUUAAGAGGAACGGAAGAAGAAAGAAAGAAGUUUCAGGUUCUUCCACUGGUGUUCGGCUCACGAUCAACGAUGCAAAACUCACAAAGUCAACAAAAGAUUCACGUAUCUAUUUGCAACAUGAACAUAAAUAUUGCUGUUCCCUUUGCUAAUACAAGCUACAGAACCAUUUAGCACAAACUGCUAUGGUUCAACAUAACGAUGCCUCUGAAUGUUCUUGAAGCUGUUCUCCAGGAGGUGGCGCUAGCACAGGGAGACUCAGCUUACCUCACCUUGGCUUUGACCUGCAGGUGCUUUGAAGCCGUUGAGUCUGACCCAGUUUUCAGGAAGAAGACUCACUUUGCUUGGCUGGAUGGUGAGAUCAACUGGGGCAAAUUUUCAAAAACAUUCAAGGCAGAAAACCGGAUUCCUUUUGCGGUUGUAACGUGUUUUUCCUGCAACCGGUGAUAUAAAGACUGUGGGCUUCACCGGCAAUGGAAGACGAGGAGAGUACCCUGGUAACUACUGUGAUGGCCGACCUGGACACUGCACUGACUGUCAAUACUGAAUGCAAGGAGAAUAUUAGUUGCUUUCCUCAGUCUUUCACACAUUUCAGUUGUCACA